rnacentral:rRNA from 1 species
UACGAAGGGGGCUAGCGUUGCUCGGAAUCACUGGGCGUAAAGGGCGCGUAGGCGGCCUGAUAAGUCGGGGGUGAAAGCCUGUGGCUCAACCACAGAAUUGCCUUCGAUACUGUUGGGCCUGAGACCGGAAGAGGUAAGUGGAACUGCGAGUGUAGAGGUGAAAUUCGUAGAUAUUCGCAAGAACACCAGUGGCGAAGGCGGCUUACUGGUCCGGAUCUGACGCUGAGGCGCGAAAGCGUGGGGAGCAAACAGG